AAAGGACACAGGGGACAACAGUUGUGUUAUUCAGUACUUGGUGAUCUCCUUCUGCAUGGAGGCAAAGUGUCAAAUGGCAGGAGGCCAUCAUCUGUCAAUGAGAUGCUGUGGAGCAAUGAGAAGGCAAGUGUACCUGCUGAGCAGGACUGCAGCUUGAAAGCAGCAGAUAUCCAUGGUUGGAAGCCAGUGAUGGACCUGGCAGAAGCUGUGAUUAGCAUGUGGAAGCCAGGGGUGCCACAGGGCUGAAGGAGGCUGAAGUUUGUGCACGUAAGCUGAUUGAAAUUCACCUUCAGAAGGCCACUGACAAAAGCUGUGUGGAUAUUCGUGGGCUGAUGCUGGGGUAAGUAUGGAGAGUGGACAUAGGUCACAUCCCAGACAAGGUACGCCUGGGAAUUGCAUGUUCAGAUAGGGGUGUCGGCUGCCCUUCAGGCUCUGGGCGAAUGAACCACUG